rnacentral:snoRNA from 1 species
GCGAAGGAUUAUUCAUUUUUAACCCUGAGAAUUGGGCCCAUCUGGGUUCCCUCGUUGAAGAUCACAAACGCAACAACACUCUAAUUUUUUCAUGACG